rnacentral:lncRNA from 1 species
AACUUCUUUCCAAAUAUACUUCCUUUCCAUUUGAAUUUGAAGUUAACGUUACUCUUUCUAUAUUAGGAAAUCCAUUAUCAAAGUCUGCGUGACUCUGGGAAUCUUGGAAUCUUCCUGUCUUGAUUCGGAGCUUCUGAUGAUGUCUUCAGAUGACGCUGAGAGCUUCUGGAAUGAUAUACCGUUGUUCAGAGUCAGAACUUCUAGAAUGCACUUCUUCUUCAGAUGCUUCUGAUAUUCUGCUGUUUUGCUCAGAGUU